rnacentral:misc_RNA from 1 species
CUGCAGCCCGACUUGAACGGAGCUCUUUUUGUGUAGCAAAGCGGAACAAAAAAGCGGGAGUGGAAGGCGGAUAAGCU